UGGCUUAGUGGUUAAGCGGUUGGCUGCUAACCAAAAGGUUGGUGGUUUGAACCCAGC
rnacentral:tRNA from 1 species